rnacentral:rRNA from 1 species
UGGGGAAUAUUGCACAAUGGGGGAAACCCUGAUGCAGCAACGCCGCGUGAGUGAUGACGGCCUUCGGGUUGUAAAGCUCUGUCUUCAGGGACGAUAAUGACGGUACCUGAGGAGGAAGUCACGGCUAACUACGUGCCAGCAGCCGCGGUAAUACGUAGGUGGCAAGCGUUGUCCGGAUUUACUGGGCGUAAAGGGAGCGUAGGCGGACUUUUAAGUGAGAUGUGAAAUACCCGGGCUCAACCUGGGUGCUGCAUUUCAAACUGGAAGUCUAGAGUGCAGGAGAGGAGAGUGGAAUUCCUAGUGUAGCGGUGAAAUGCGUAGAGAUUAGGAAGAACACCAGUGGCGAAGGCGACUCUCUGGACUGUAACUGACGCUGAGGCUCGAAAGCGUGGGGAGCAAAC